AUGCAUUGGUUUGUUUGGUGGAAGCUUUGUUUUCCAAAGAAUCUUGGAGGACUUGGGUAUCGAGACUUCCACUCUUUUAAUCUUGCAAUGUUGGCAAAGCAGGUUUGGAGACUUCUGUGCAAUCCCGACUCUUUGUGUGCUAGGAUCCUAAAAGCAAAAUAUUUUCCCAACCAAAGUAUACUUGAGGCAGGGCCUAAAAAAGGAUCCUCAUUUACAUGGCAAAGCAUUUUCGCCGGUAUUCAAACUUUCAAAAGAGGUUAUAUUUGGAGGGUAGGAAACGGCGAGUCAAUUGAUAUAUGGAGAGACCCGUGGAUAUCUAGCAGUCCGGACAGAAGGGUGUUGUCGCCAAGAGGUAAUAUCGUGAUUACCAAAGUGGAUGAGCUGAUUGACGCUUAUUCAGGACAACGGGAUGAAGACCUUGUGCGGUCUAUUUUCUGACAUGUGGAUGCAACCAGAAUCCUGAAAAUUCCUUUAAGUCUGGAUAGCUUUGAUGAUCUUUUUGCAUGGCAUUAUAACAGAAACGGGAUAUUCUCGAUGAAAUCGGCGUAUCAUGUGGAAUGGAGAACCCAGUUUGGGAAUUCAUACCAAACUAUGGCGUCAACAUUAGAGUCGAACCCAAUCUGAAAGAAGGUGUGGGCACUUUUGGUUCCUGGUAAGGUCAAAACUUUUGUGUGGAAACUGUUACAUGGAGCCAUUCCCGUUAAAUCAACUUUGACGAAUCAUCAUAUUGGGACGGAUGACCAGUGUCCAAUUUGUCAUGAUCACCCGAAAGACUUGAAACACUUGCUAUUUGAAUGCGCACCAACAAAAAUGAUGUGGUACAUACUAAAACUAGAACAAGCAGUUUCAGAUGCUUGUAUUGUAGACAGGUCAGGUUCAGCUGUCUUGGAGUUGUUGGAUUCAUCAACGAGUCAUUACCCUGAUCUACCUCGGGUAGGGAUUGCGGAGGUUGUGGCGGUCGCAACAUGGUACAUCUGGUGGAUCAGACGGACAAUCACACACAAGGAGAGGACAACCCCAGCAACAAAUUGA
rnacentral:rRNA from 1 species